rnacentral:rRNA from 1 species
GACGAACGCUGGCGGCGUGCUUAACACAUGCAAGUCGAGCGGUAAGGCCCUUUCGGGGGUACACGAGCGGCGAACGGGUGAGUAACACGUGGGUGACCUGCCCUCAGCUCUGGGAUAAGCCUGGGAAACUGGGUCUAAUACCGGAUAUGACUCCAUGACGCAUGUUGUGGGGUGGAAAGCCUUGUGCGGCUGAGGAUGGGCCCGCGGCCUAUCAGCUUGUUGGUGGGGUGANGGCCUACCAAGGCGACGACGGGUAGCCGGCCUGAGAGGGCGACCGGCCACACUGGGACUGAGACACGGGCCAGACUCCUACGGGAGGCAGCAGUGGGGAAUCUUGCGCAAUGGGCGAAAGCCUGACGCAGCGACGCCGCGUGAGGGAUGACGGCCU